rnacentral:rRNA from 1 species
GAUUUCUGACGAAACUGCUAGCUGGCCCGCCACGUCAGUGUGUGAGUGCCGGCUUGGCGUUUGUCAUCCGUUCGAAUGAUGUGCGCGCUGCCCUUCAUUGGGUUUGUGCUGCAUGUUUUCGAUCUUUUACUUUGAAAAAAUUAGAGUGUUUCAAGCAGGCAUUUUUGCUAUGAAUACAUUAGCAUGGAAUAAUAAUCUAGGACUUUCGGUUCUAUUUUGUUGGUGUUCUGGAGCUGAAGUAAUGAUUGAUAGGGAUAGUUGGGGGUGCUAGUAUUCAAUGGCCAGAGGUGAAAUUCUCGGAUUCCUUGAAGACUAACUUAUGCGAAAGCAUU